GGGGCUGUAGCUCAGCCCGGUUAGAGCACUGGCCUGUCACGCCAGGAGCCGCGGGUUCAAAUCCCGUCAGCCCCG
rnacentral:tRNA from 1 species